rnacentral:rRNA from 1 species
AUUUAUCAACUUCGAUGGUAGGAUAAGAGGCCUACCAUGGUGGUAACGGGUAACGGGGUGUUAGGGCACGACNCGAGAGGGAGCUGAGAAACGGCUACCACAUCCAAGGAAGGCAGCAGGCGCGCAAAUUACCCAAUCCCGACAUGGGGAGGUAGUGACAAUAAAUAACAAUACAGGGUUCUUUUGGAUCUUGUAAUUGGAAUGAGUACAAUUUAAAUCUCUUAACGAGGAACAAUUGGAGGGCAAGUCUGGUGCCAGCAGCCGCGGUAAUUCCAGCUCCAAUAGCGUAUAUUAAAGUUGUUGCAGUUAAAAAGCUCGUAGUUGAAUUUCGGGAUCAAGGGAUCGGUCAUGCCUUGGUAUGUACUGGUUUUAUUGGUUCUCACCUUCUAAAGAACCAUGAUGUCAUUCAUUUGAUGUUAUGGGGAAUUAGGACUGUUACCUUGAAAAAAUUAGAGUGUUUAAAGCAAGCUUACGCUUGAAUACAUUAGCAUGGAAUAAUGAAAUAGGACAUCAGAUUCUAUUUUGUUGGUUUCUAGGAUCGAUGUAAUGACUAAUAGGGAUAGUUGGGGGCAUUAGUAUUCAAUUGUCAGAGGUGAAAUUCUUGGAUUUAUUGAAGACUAACUAUUGCGAAAGCAUUUGCCAAGGAUGUUUUCAUUAAUCAAGAACGAAAGUUAGGGGAUCGAAGACGAUCAGAUACCGUCGUAGUCUUAACCAUAAACUAUGCCGACUAGGGAUCGGAUGAUGUUAAUUUUUUAAUGACUCAUUCGGCACCUUACGGGAAACCAAAGUGUUUGGGUUC